rnacentral:rRNA from 1 species
ACUCCUACGGGAGGCAGCAGUGGGGAAUAUUGCACAAUGGGGGAAACCCUGAUGUAGCCAUGCCGCGUGUGUGAAGAAGGCCUUCGGUUGUAAAGCACUUUCAGUAGGGAGGAAGGUAGUGUAGUUAACACCUGCAUUAUUUGACGUUACCUACAGAAGAAGCACCGGCUAACUCCGUGCCAGCAGCCGCGGUAAUACGGAGGGUGCGAGCGUUAAUCGGAAUUACUGGGCGUAAAGCGCAUGCAGGCGGCCUGUUAAGUCAGAUGUGAAAGCCCGGGGCUUAACCUCGGAAUUGCAUUUGAAACUGGCAGGCUAGAGUCUGUAGAGGGGUAGAAUUUCAGGUGUAGCGGUGAAAUGCGUAGAGAUCUGAAGGAAUACCAGUGGCGAAGGCGGCCCCUGGACAAAGACUGACGCUCAGAUGCGAAAGCGUGGGAGCAAACAGGAUUAGAUACCCCUGGUAGACUGUCA